UACAGAGGGUGCGAGCGUUUAAUCGGAAUUACUGGGCGUAAAGCGCACGUAGUCGGCUUUGCAAGUCGGGUGUGAAAUCCCCGGGCUCAACCUGGGAACUGCAUCCGAGACUGCAUUGCUAGAGUAUGGGAGAGGGAAGCGGAAUUUCUGGUGUAGCGGUGAAAUGCGCAGAUAUCAGGAGGAACACCGGUGGGCGAAGGCGGAUCUCUGGGCAUGGUCCUGA
rnacentral:rRNA from 1 species